ACGUGUAAAGAAGAGAGAGAGAUGGAUAUGAUGUAACUCACUUGAUCUUUAUUGGGACGAGGUCCGCACCACUAUCGUGGCCCGGUCAUGGUCCGCUGACGUUGUCACGGAGAAGGAGACGUCGCCUCACAAUCUAGACAGAGAGGUCACCACAGAAGUUGAGACUGAGAACCAACGAGUGGUUGGCAACGAAACUGUCGGGGCGUCGGUAGCACCGGCGAUGAUGUUCUCCCGACAGGGAACUCGCUUCACCUCAGUCCAACCUGAUGCCUCUUUAUAUACUGUGCUAAGUCUCCUUCAUAAACACAUCACAUCACUUGUUUUUCUUAUGCUUACACACCAAAAACAUAAACACGUCGUAAACAUGUCUUGGUUUACGAUAUUUCGCACAAGUCAAAAUAUUUACAACUUGUUACUCCGCGCUAUCUUAUCACUACACGCAUAUGGUCUAGGCUUAUUUGCUAUGUGGUUAGUUUGUAUUUUGUUCCUUUUGCCUGUUUACAUUUAGUAGGGGUUCGCACCUACUACAUAUUAUUUAUUUAUUCAUUUAUUUAUUACACUUUAUUUAUUAAAGGUUCGUACUCACUACACUAUAACUGGAGCCAACUGGGGUUAGUCUAACCCCAGACAGAGACCGUAAGGAAUAUUCCCAAGCAGCUGCUGAAACUCCCUUUGUUUCGGGGAAAUUCCCUGAUUGCUUAACCCCUCCCCAUUGCUGGCAGGAAAGCAUGGUGUCUGCUCCUCUCUUGGAGCUGAUGAGCUCUAAAACUAGGAACCCUUCCUCUGCCUUCUGGCGGCACUUACUUCUGUUCUUCACUAUCAGGAAACAAGAAAUCCGCCCCGAGACCCAACACCCCCAACUCCAGAUCUUCCCACCAGGUCUCAGGACAGCAUUGGAAACACCAGCUAUUUUACCAAGGCUUUGACUGGAAUGUCAUAUUUGAAAAGACUCAGAUAUGACCAGACAACUUAAAGGAACUAAGGUUGACUUUAUAAAACCUGGAGCUGUAAAGCCCUUUGGAACUGUUGGCCUGAUACCUUGCUUACAGAGUUCCCAGCAGCCUCACCAGGUGAGUAAAGAAUGUCGCUUCCUGGCAGGAUACUUUGGGAACCUCAGAAAGAGGAAUUCACCCAAAUCGACAGGUAUUGCAGGCAUGUCUGAUGGCAAGUAUGUGGCUUGGCUUCUGGCCUGGAGAGGCUACUAAAAGUUCAACCUAGAGUCUCCUUAUAAGAAUUUCCAGUAAAGCAGAUUCUAGAAGAUCUAUAUGAUUAUUCACUGUUCUUGCUGAACUUAUGUAAAUAAUUAGGCCAAGUUGGUUAAAACCGGACUUGUUUUUCAAAUAAAUUAAUCCUAAUUUGGCUAUCUCUGGAAAUGAGGGUUAUUUUAGAGAGAAAAAUUAUUUUAAUAACACGCCUUUAUGGAUGUUAAAUUCUAGAUUUGGUAGUCUUUAUAUGUUUGUUUACCUAAGCUAGACAACUUGAGGCAAACUUCAGAAGAAGAUUUAAAGUAUUUACAAAAAUGGGUUAAACUAGACUAUGAAGGGGACUGGGCUGAGACUAGAACACAAAAGUUACCUUGAAGACUAGGAAGAAAUUAGUAAGCCAAAUACAUCAGGGCACUCAUUUGGGGACAUGCAAGCUUAAGGAGCUUAUGGGCAAGCAGUUUCAGGUUUCUAAAUUAUGGCCUAUGGCUCAGGGUGUCGUUGAUAGAUGUGCUCAAUGUCAGGCGGUAAAUGUGGGAAGAACUAGAAUGGGAAGAGGGAAGAGAAAAAGAGGUAAGGAACCAGGAAUUUAUUGGGAAAUGGAUUUUACAGAGAUGAAACUGGGGAAAUAUGGACACAAGUAUAUAUUAGUUUUUGUGGAUACCUUUUAAGGCUGGGUGGAGACUUUUUCUGCCAAACAUGAAACGGCAGAAGUGGUAGCCAAAAAACUACUAGAGGUUUGGUUACCUCUGGGUCAAACAAUGGCCCUGCAUUUGUGAGUUCAAUCUCAUAGGCAUUGGCCAAGGCCAUGGGCACUAACUGAAAACUACAUUGUGCCUACCAGCCCCAGAGUUCUGGGCAAGUAGAGAGGAUGAACUGGACUCUUAAAGAGACCCUGACAAAGCUAAUUCUGGAGACUGGUGGUGGAUGGGUGGAUCACCUUCCUUUCGCCUUCCUCAGGGCAUGAGGUACACCCUGCUUAAACAAGGUGACCCCAUUUGAAAUAAUGUUCGGGAGACCCCCACCCCUACCCCGCUCUGCCCUCGGCUACAAGAGGUUGCCCUAGCAAAAAUGAUUGGUCAGUCUGUACUCCAGUCACUGCAGGCAUUACAGUCUGUCUAGCCCACACAGGGAUCUGAACUGCCCACACUGAGACAGAGACAGAGCUGGAACCACAUCCUUAUCAAUCUGGGGACUUGGUUUGGAUACGCUACCACCAAGUGGGAAACCUGGAGCUUCGCUGGAAGGAACCUUUACUGUCAUCCUGACCACCCCCACAGCAGUGAAAGUAGAAGGCAUCCGGGCCUGGAUUCAUGUGGGUCACCUCAAAGCGCUGAGGAUGAGGACACCCCCUACAGAUGGAAGCUGCUGCUGAUGGACCCCGCUGACCAUGGACUAAAGCUAAGACUCCAAAGACUAUGAGUUCAUUGUUGCUCCUAUUGUUACCUGUUUUUGUAAGAGCUUCUAAGUCACCUCAUAAGACAGAAAAGUAUAGGUGGGAAAUUAAACGAACGGAAUUAGGUUUAUACAAAGUGGUAAAUGGCUAACUCAUCAGCUGACUGUGCAAUUUAAUGUAACUUUAUGCAAAUUGGUACCCAUUAACCCCUGUUUAGAUGCCUUACAGUUUUACAUGUGCCCUAACACUGGGCCUCCCCAAUGCAGUGGGGGGAAAGGCCUGGGGGCCCACCAGAGUACUAUUGUGCACAACAGGGAUGCUAUAAAAGUUUGUUCAACUGGUCUCCGUGGACGACUUCCCUAAAAUCAGCAAUUGCAGGCCUCCUGGUUUUAUAAUUACUAAUGUUACUUUUUGGACCCUGCAUUAUAAACGCCCUAAUGUCAUUUGUACAAAAGAAAAUUAGAGCGAUAAAAAUGUUAGUCGUACAUGCUCAAUAUAACCCCUUACAACAGAAGAACAUAGAACUAGGCUAAAAGUCAAGGAUUUGACUAAUCAAAGAAAAGGGGGGAAUGUAAGGCCCUGCUUAGCCAGAGCGAGCUAUUUUGUUGUUUAUGCAGUAAACUUAGAUUGACCCUGCCCCCCCAAGAGGAACUUACUUAUAAACAAGUCUGGGAAACCAGAAAAAUAUGACUAACCAGCCACUGAUAACAAAGCCCAUAUACCAGGACAUGUCAGGUCAGGGGGAGGUAACAGAGCCCAGAAUACAAGGCUGAGCCAAGCCAGCUGGAGACAUCCAAUCAGGAAAGCACCUCCCUAACCUCCCAAGAAUGUGGGCCCUGCCUUUUGGGUGCCAAUUCUGACCAAAGUGAUAGGCUAGUUCAAAUAACUACUAUAGGGUGAAUUGUAAUUCAAUUGGCCACCGGUGUGUGGCCAGGCUCGACCACAUGGCCUUUACUCUAUAAAAGUUAGUCUGUGAGGCUGGGAGGGGUCGCCUCUUUGCAAGAGACGGCCGUGGCCGGUCAGUUUGAUUCUCCAUGCUUGGUGCGAAAUAAAGCUUUGCUUGACCUUCA